rnacentral:misc_RNA from 1 species
GAUGAAGAACGUAGCGAAAUGCGAUACUUGGUGUGAAUUGCAGAAUCCCGUGAACCAUCGAGUCUUUGAACGCAAGUUGCGCCCGAAGCCAUUAGGCCGAGGGCACGCCUGCCUGGGCGUCACACGUCGUUGCCCCCCCAUCUACUCCUUCGGGAUUGCGGGGGGCGGAUGAUGGCCUCCCGUGCGCCUCGUCGCGCGGUUGGCAUAAAUGCCAAGUCCUCGGCGACGCACGCCACGACAAUCGGUGGUUGCGAAACCUCGGUUGCCCGUCGUGUGCGGUCGUCGCGCAUCGAGGGCUCGAAAAAAUUGCCGAGUUCCGGCUAGGCUUUCAACGCGACCCCAGGUCAGGCGGGGUUACCCGCUGAAUUUAAGCAUAUCAAUAAGCGGAGGA